GACAAGAAGCAGGGAGGGGCUGGUUCUAAUCAGGGGACAACAGAACUUGUUGAGAAAAGCAGCUGGCCUGCUUUAUUUCCCUGUCAGGAUGAACGGCGACCCACUAUCAUACGGUUCACUCGCUAAGGAAGAAAUACACGCUCCCAUCCCAGGAGAAAUGAGCACACUUCCGCCUCUCCUUCAAGUGCACUGGGAAGUUUAAAUCCUCACGUGAGAAGACGGGGCGGGGGGGUCUAAGAGGGGGGCGAGGCUCCAGGGGUGCUCCUCCCAUCUGGGGUGCUGGCCAGCUCACCGCUGGGCAGUUGCGGGGACUGCCAUCUACAGACUUUUAGAGGCCACCUCCCGGCCUGGGGCGGAAAGGGUGGAGGGCCCUGACCUCGGUGACUCCCGGAAUAUUCCAGGGAGGGGGCGCUGAUGACUGGGGCAGGAGGGCCAGCUCCCAGCCCUGUGGGUCACCUCGUCCCUGCCACCGGGCCUGCGGGGAGCACCUCACACUGGAAGGAGUGAGAGCUUCCCCCAAGAAGAGAGCUCUGCCUUUGCGGGGUGUAACAGUACCUCCCGGCUGGAGCCCAGGGACCCAGACACCUGCAUGGUGGCCCGGAGCCCCGAGGCAGCGCUUAUAACAGACCAUGGAGGAGGCCGCCCCGGGCUCUACACCAGGUCCGUGUUAAUCUACUGUUAGUUUUAAGG